rnacentral:rRNA from 1 species
UCGAGACCGAAUUAUAUCGAGUGAUUUAGAUAACCUGUAAAAAUUUGCGGUGGCUAUUGCUGCCGAAAUAAAAUCUAUCCCAAUCAUCAUCUGAACCCCCCUCCUUGGGGCGGAGAUGCGAUGAAGGAUGGAUGAACCCCAAACCGGCGCAGCAUUGCGCCAAGUGAAUAACGAAACAAUAUCCCUAAAAUGGGUUUUGUAGCAUGGCAAUGCUAUUGCAUGCCAUAUGGAUUGACAUGACUCUCGGCAAUGGAUAUCUCGGCUCUCGCAUCGAUGAAGAGCGCAGCGAAAUGCGAUACGUGGUGCGAAUUGCAGAAUCCCGUGAACCAUCGAGUCUUUGAACGCAAGUUGCGCCCGAGGCCAACCGGCCAAGGGCACGUCUGCCUGGGCGUCAAGCAUUUAGAUGCUCCGUGCCUUGUCAUCAAUUUAUGGAAGUGUUGGUGAAGGCUCGGAUGUGCAUGGUGGCUCGUCGUGCUCCUCGGCACGGCGGGCUGAAGAGCGGGGCAUCAUCUCGUUGGCUGCGUACAAUAAGUGGUGGAUAAAGGAUAAGGCCUAUUGUAUUGUGCGUGCAUGCCCGAGAGAUGAUCAUAUUAUUUUGGUGAUCCCAAAUCAUGCGUCCAUCCUUAGAUGACGUUUUGAAU